rnacentral:rRNA from 1 species
CCGGGAACUCAAAGGAGACUGCCAGUGAUAAACUGGAGGAAGGUGGGGAUGACGUCAAGUCAUCAUGGCCCUUACGAGUAGGGCUACACACGUGCUACAAUGGCGCAUACAAAGAGAAGCGACCUCGCGAGAGCAAGCGGACCUCAUAAAGUGCGUCGUAGUCCGGAUUGGAGUCUGCAACUCGACUCCAUGAAGUCGGAAUCGCUAGUAAUCGUAGAUCAGAAUGCUACGGUGAAUACGUUCCCGGGCCUUGUACACACCGC